CGGGGCGUAGCGCAGCUUGGCAGCGCGCCUGCUUUGGGAGCAGGAGGUCCCGGGUUCAAAUCCCGGCGCCCCGACCA
rnacentral:tRNA from 1 species